CUACGGGUGGCAGCAGUGGGGAAUAUUGCACAAUGGGCGCAAGCCUGAUGCAGCAACGCCGCGUGAACGAUGAAGGCCUUCGGGUUGUAAAGUUCUUUUCUUAGGGAAGAAUAAAUGACGGUACCUAAGGAAUCAGCCCCGGCUAACUACGUGCCAGCAGCCGCGGUAAUACGUAGGGGGCAAGCGUUAUCCGGAAUCACUGGGCGUAAAGGGAGUGUAGGCGGUCAAGCAAGUCAGAGGUGAAAGGCAUCGGCUCAACCGAUGUAAGCCUUUGAAACUGUUUGACUUGAGUGCAGGAGAGGUAAGUGGAAUUCCUAGUGUAGCGGUGAAAUGCGUAGAUAUUAGGAGGAACACCAGUGGCGAAGGCGACUUACUGGACUGUAACUGACGCUGAGGCUCGAAAGCGUGGGGAGCGAACAGGAUUAGAUACCCGUGUAGUC
rnacentral:rRNA from 1 species